GACGAACGCUGGCGGCGUGCCUAAUACAUGCAAGUCGAACGCUGAAGGAGGAGCUUGCUUCUCCGGAUGAGUUGCGAACGGGUGAGUAACGCGUAGGUAACCUGCCUGGUAGCGGGGGAUAACUAUUGGAAACGAUAGCUAAUACCGCAUAAGAGUAGAUGUAGAACGAAAUUUGAUUAAAAGGUGAAAUUGAAUGAAUAGUAGAGUGAGUUGAGUUGUAUUAGCUAGUUGGUGAGGUAACGGCUCAACAAGGCAACGAUACAUAGCCGACCUGAGAGGGUGAUCGGCCACACUGGGACUGAGACACGGCCCAGACUCCUACGGGAGGCAGCAGGAGGUAAUCUUCAUCAAUAUACUUAAUUCUCACCAAUCAACCCCACAGGAAUGAAUAAGGGUUUCGGAUCGUAAAGCUCUGUUGUAAGAGAAGAACAAAUGUUAACAUUUAAAAUUCCCACUGUAACUUUCUCUUACCAGAAACAGACGGCUAACUACUUG
rnacentral:rRNA from 1 species